rnacentral:rRNA from 1 species
UAGAGGAAGUAAAAGUCGUAACAAGGUCUCCGUUGGUGAACCAGCGGAGGGAUCAUUACUGAGUUUACGCUCUAUAACCCUUUGUGAACAUACCAAACCGUUGCUUCGGCGGGCGGGAGGUCCGCCUCCCCCCGGCCCCGCUCGCGGGGCGCCCGCCGGAGGAAAACCCAACUCUAUUUUAACGACGUCUCUUCUGAGUGGCACAAGCAAAUAGUCAAAACUUUUAACAACGGAUCUCUUGGUUCUGGCAUCGAUGAAGAACGCAGCGAAAUGCGAUAAGUAAUGUGAAUUGCAGAAUUCAGUGAAUCAUCGAAUCUUUGAACGCACAUUGCGCCCGCCAGCAUUCUGGCGGGCAUGCCUGUUCGAGCGUCAUUUCAACCCACAAGCACCGCUUGGCGUUGGGGCUUCCACGGCUGACGUGGGCCCUCAAAGACAGUGGCGGACCCUCGCGGAGCCUCCUUUGCGUAGUAACAUACCACCUCGCACCGGGACCCGCAGGGCACUCCUGCCGUAAACCCCCCAAUUUUAACAAGGUUGACCUCGGAUCAGGUAGGAAUACCCGCUGAACUUAAGCAUAUCAAUAAGCGGAGGA